rnacentral:snoRNA from 1 species
GGGAUAUGAGGAAUGGGUUUAAUCUCGCAUAAUUGCGUGAUGAGCGUUCCGCUCAAAGCCUGUUACGACAAUUGGGCGCUCCAAUUUUCAUUUAAUCUGAUCCC